UGGCCGUGGAAAGCUAGCCACUGUGC
rnacentral:piRNA from 1 species